rnacentral:rRNA from 1 species
GACUGACCGAUAGUGAACCAGUACCGUGAGGGAAAGGCGAAAAGAACCCCGGCGAGGGGAGUGAAAAAGAACCUGAAACCGUGUACGUACAAGCAGUGGGAGCACAGGUUUACCUGUGUGACUGCGUACCUUUUGUAUAAUGGGUCAGCGACUUAUAUUCUGUAGCAAGGUUAACCGAAUAGGGGAGCCGGAGGGAAACCGAGUCUUAAUUGGGCGUUAAGUUGCAGGGUAUAGACCCGAAACCCGGUGAUCUAGCCAUGGGCAGGUUGAAGGUUGGGUAACACUAACUGGAGGACCGAACCGACUAAUGUUGAAAAAUUAGCGGAUGACCUGUGGCUGGGGGUGAAAGGCCAAUCAAACCGGGAGAUAGCUGGUUCUCCCCGAAAGCUAUUUAGGUAGCGCCUCGUGAAUUCAUCUCCGGGGGUAGAGCACUGUUUCGGCUAGGGGGCCAUCCCGGCUUACCAACCCGAUGCAAACUGCGAAUACCGGAGAAUGUUAUCACGGGAGACACACGGCGGGUGCUAACGUCCGUCGUGAAGAGGGAAACAACCCAGACCGCCAGCUAAGGUCCCAAAGUCAUGGUUAAGUGGGAAACGAUGUGGGAAGGCCCAGACAGCCAGGAUGUUGGCUUAGAAGCAGCCAUCAUUUAAAGAAAGCGUAAUAGCUCACUGGUCGAGUCGGCCUGCGCGGAAGAUGUAACGGGGCUAAACCAU